UACGUAGGGGGCGAGCGUUGUCCGGAUUUAUUGGGCGUAAAAGGCUUGUAGGUGGCCACGUCAAGUCGGCUGUGAAAUCUCCCGGCUCAACUAGGAGGGGUCAGUCGAUACUGCUCGACUUUGAAGGCAGGGAGAGGGUAGUGGAAUUCCCGGUGUAGUGGUGAAAUGCGUAGAGAUGCGGCGGAACACCGAUGGCGAAGGCAGCCCCCUGGGCUUAAAUUGACGCUGAGGCACGAAAAGCGUGGGGGAGCAAACAGG
rnacentral:rRNA from 1 species